rnacentral:rRNA from 1 species
CCUACGGGAGGCAGCAGUGGGGAAUAUUGCACAAUGGGCGAAAGCCUGAUGCAGCGACGCCGCGUGAGGGAUGACGGCCUUCGGGUUGUAAACCUCUUUCAGCAGGGAAGAAGCGAAAGUGACGGUACCUGCAGAAGAAGCGCCGGCUAACUACGUGCCAGCAGCCGCGGUAAUACGUAGGGCGCAAGCGUUGUCCGGAAUUAUUGGGCGUAAAGAGCUCGUAGGCGGCUUGUCACGUCGGGUGUGAAAGCCCGGGGCUUAACCCCGGGUCUGCAUUCGAUACGGGCUAGCUAGAGUGUGGUAGGGGAGAUCGGAAUUCCUGGUGUAGCGGUGAGAUGCGCAGAUAUCAGGAGGAACACCGGUGGCGAAGGCGGAUCUCUGGGCCAUUACUGACGCUGAGGAGCGAAAGCGUGGGGAGCGAACAGGAUUAGAUACCCUGGUAGUCCACGCCGUAAACGGUGGGAACUAGGUGUUGGCGACAUUCCACGUCGUCGGUGCCGCAGCUAACGCAUUAAGUUCCCCGCCUGGGGAGUACGGCCGCAAGGCUAGAACUUAAAGGAAUUGACGG